rnacentral:rRNA from 1 species
UAGGGAAUCUUCGGCAAUGGACGAAAGUCUGACCGAGCAACGCCGCGUGAGUGAAGAAGGUUUUCGGAUCGUAAAACUCUGUUGGUAGAGAAGAACGUUGGUGAGAGUGGAAAGCUCAUCAAGUGACGGUAACUACCCAGAAAGGGACGGCUAACUACGUGCCAGCAGCCGCGGUAAUACGUAGGUCCCGAGCGUUGUCCGGAUUUAUUGGGCGUAAAGCGAGCGCAGGUGGUUUAUUAAGUCUGGUGUAAAAGGCAGUGGCUCAACCAUUGUAUGCAUUGGAAACUGGUAGACUUGAGUGCAGGAGAGGAGAGUGGAAUUCCAUGUGUAGCGGUGAAAUGCGUAGAUAUAUGGAGAAACACCGGUGGCGAAAGCGGCUCUCUGGCCUGUAACUGACACUGAGGCUCGAAAGCGUGGGGAGCAAACAGGAUUAGAUACCCUGGUAGUCCACGCCGUAAACGAUGAGUGCUAGAUGUAGGGAGCUAUAAGUUCUCUGUAUCGCAGCUAACGCAAUAAGCACUCCGCCUGGGGAGUACGACCGCAAGGUUGAAAC